GAUGAACGCUGGCGGCGUGCCUAAUACAUGCAAGUCGAGCGAAAAGACGAGGAGCUUGCUCCUCGGACGUUAGCGGCGGACGUAAGAGUAACACGUGGAUAACCUACCUAUAAGAAUGGGAUAAAUUGGGGAAACCGGAGCGAAUACCGGCUAUUAUAUUAAACGGCAUAGUUUAAUAGUUAACGAGGUUUUUGCUGUCACUGAUAGAUGAGUCCGCGCCGCAUUAGCUAGUUGGUAAGGUAACGGCUUACCAAGGCAACGAUGUGUAGCCGAACUGAGAGGGCGAUCGGCCACACUGGAACUGAGACACGGUCCAGACUCCUACGGGAGGCAGCAGUAGGGAAUCUUCCGCAAUGGGCGAAAGCCUGACGGAGCAACGCCGCGUGCGUGAUGAAGGUCUUCGGAUCGUAAAACUCUGUUAUUAGGGAAGAACCAAUGUUUAAGUAACUAUGCACGUCUUGACGGUACCUUAUCAGAAAGCCACGGCUAACUACGUG
rnacentral:rRNA from 1 species